ensembl:lncRNA
CUGUGUUGUGAGGUGCAGAGGCCUCCGGCCGUGCUGUGACCCCUGUUUAGCCGUGUUUGGGACUCUGUGUCUUCAAUGGUUGCCAUUACAGCCUCGUCUGGGUAGAGUUUGAGUUCUUUACCAUUCAGUAUCCCUCUGUCUAUUUACACUUGGUGUUAACGUUGACUCGUUUGUCUUGAAAUAGUCAUGGAAGGGAUACGUCAUCUGUUAAUGCUUUUGUGAACUCUUGCAAGAACAUUCCUCUCUGAUGCUAGCAGAUUCUGCAUCUUUGCUGUCACUUAGGGACUGAAGCACGUGAUACCUUCCAGGAUGAAGAUGAAGAAACACUUGGUAAACAUGUGCUCAAUGAGUAUUAGAGAUAGAAAGUCUGGCGAUUCAUGCAUUUUGCGGGAUUGUUUCUUCCACGAGUUUUAUCAUUUUUAAAUGUCAGAAGUAUGUUGUUGGCCAAGUGAGAGUGAAAGAAAAGAAGCAUGGAAGUUUGAACAGACUGUGAGCCUGGUCAGGGAGAAUAACCCCAACAGCUUGUUCUCUCAUUUCCAAAUCUGGAUCUUAUGAACUUCUUGUGUGGAAACCUAGAUGUGUUCCAUACAAAGGCACAGACAAGGGUUUGGUGGGGGAUUAUUUACUCUGACUUUCUUGGGGACUGUGGGCAGAUAAGAGUGCAUGACCCAACCUCCUAGCAGAAUCCUGAAUGGUG